GAUGAACGCUGGCGGCGUGCCUAAUACAUGCAAGUCGAGCGAACAGACGAGGAGCUUGCUCCUCUGACGUUAGCGGCGGACGGGUGAGUAACACGUGGAUAACCUACCUAUAAGACUGGGAUAACUUCGGGAAACCGGAGCUAAUACCGGAUAAUAUAUUGAACCGCAUGGUUCAAUAGUGAAAGACGGCUUUGCUGUCACUUAUAGAUGGAUCCGCGCCGCAUUAGCUAGUUGGUAAGGUAACGGCUUACGAAGGCGACGAUGCGUAGCCGACCUGAGAGGGUGAUCGGCCACACUGGAACUGAGACGCCGUCCAGACUCCUACGGGAGGCAGCAGUAGGGAAUGUGCCGCAAUGGGCGAAAGCCUGGCGGAGCGACGCCGCGUGAGUGAGGAAGGUCUUCGGAUCGUAAAACUCUGUUAUUAGGGAAGAACAGAUGUGUAAGUAACUAUGCACGUCUUGACGGUACCUAGUCAGAAAGCAACGGCUAACUACGUG
rnacentral:rRNA from 1 species